rnacentral:lncRNA from 1 species
CUUGUAUGACUUCAUUUGACCUCAGUCCUUCCUGCACAAUGAAACAUCCCUAUAUCACUCACGCUUUUAUCUCGCUCCAUUUUUUAAGGGCGUAACAAUAAUAUCAUCUCUACCAAGUCAUGACGAGCAAGAACUGCAAAAGAACCGGCCUGAUUUUACAAAGACCUCUGCAGAGGAUGAAAGAAAGAUCCCCAGAGCUGACCUGACACACAGCUCCCUCCUACAGGAGUUUGGCUUGGAUUCAGUGGAGUGCUCUGACCCCCCGCCUAACUUUGCUUUUUGGGCUUGAAUAUUCAGGUGUUCAGCUGGAGAGAUCUGCAGGCAAACUCGUGCAAUCACCAACCUCUGCCUGCAGGGCCCAGAGGUGGGUAGUAACAGUCUACUUUGGUACAUUACUGAACCUCAUGUGGUUUCAAGUAUCUGUACUUUACUGUUGAAAUCUUUUCCUCUUUUCUCUCUUUGUUUUGAAAGACUAGUUUUAUUAGCUAGGAGGGAAUUAUCAAUUAUUUCUAUUUUGCAUUAUUGCACCAUCUUUACCUACAAUACCAAUAUCAACCUUAAUGGAUGGAGCAGUAAUUUAUAUCUCAUAAAGAAGGUGAUGAGCUGUGAGAGACAUGAUGGAGUACAGAAGUAGAGAGCUUGCAACAACAUCAGUACAACUUAUUAGAGCUGAAUUAUUGUUCAUUUUAUCUCUUCGUUACCCAGCCUGACUCUGAUUGGUCAAAACUUCAAAGCAACAGUGAUUAAAUCCAAGUAGAAGUCAACUUGAUCACAUGACAAAUCAAACCAAUACAUCUCCAAGCUGAAGUCAUUAUAAACUUUAAGCAGCAGUGAUGGUGGAAACAAUGUUAGGAAUCAAGCAUUUGUCCUCUUCAUGUCUCAAGGUGUGAACUGCAAAGCCCUUGAAAGAGUGCUAGCUGAAAGUUGACAUGAAUAUUGCUGCAUAAGUCCUAUUCCCUUUAUCUAACCUAAGCUGAAAUUGACACAAUAAAUAAUAAUAAAUAAAUAACAAUAAAAAAGGCUAAUGUUUUAACUUGAACAGGAGUUCAAUAAUAUGUCAUCUUGUGAAGAGGCUGAAAACUAAUAAGUGGGAUAAUGUAUAGUGAGUGGGUGGUGUUUAAAGUGGGUCAUGCUCACCCUGUUGUUGUUUUUUUUUUUUUUCUGCACCUUUACAUAAAUACUUUGUAUCAAAUUAUAAAAGUAUUUAAACAGUAGCCAAUUAACAGGUAGGAUAAUGUAUAGUGAAUGGGUGCUCUUGCUUACCCUGUCACACUUUUUGGCCGGCAUGAAAUCAGUAUUUUGUGUCAUCUUGUUAAUCAUAUCUUUAGACUGUAACCAGUAAAUAAGUAGGAUAAUGUAUAGUGAGAGGUUGAUUUUUUACAUGGGUCUUGCUCACCCCAUCACGUUCCUUCUCCUCUUUCUCUCUAUAUGUUUUCCCUUUUUAUAAACCUGUUUGAAGUGAUAAAUUGUCAAAACUUAUGGCCUUAAAAUUAUGGUGGGAACCUGAACUUUUCCAUUCCUACUGCGGUAAACAAGUUAAACCAGUUCUUAUACUUUCAUCAGACUAUUUCUAAACAACUAUCUCUUUAUUAAGUAAAGACUGUGUGUACUUUUUUGAUACCUCUAGCAGCGCCCGGUUUUCAAGACACAAGCGUAUGUUCGUGGAUGAGCAGAGGAAAUGAAAGUUAAUGGUGUGUUUGCAUUGUCAGAGCUCGUAUGCCCACAGAUUUGCUUUAUUCAUGGCCUCACUUCAUCUGCCAGCCAGCCAUUGAAUAAUUGAAGGAAUUAUCAGGCGAGGGGAUCCAAAGCCCCUCAGAAAUGUGUCAUGCCCCUGAGCAAAGCCUGCAGAAAAGAAAAAAAAAAGCAAGAGUAAGAGGGGGCCUCCUAAUUCGGAGCUGUGCAGCCGCUCAAUACAACCCAGUAACGUUCCACCUACAUAGAAAGUUAAAACACAGAAGCUGAUGAUGCCACAAAUGGCAAGCUUUGACUGGCAGAAUAUCAAUGGCUCAUAACAGCAGGAGCCCAUGCAUGUCAGAUAAAUUUAUGAUUCUCUCCAAAAUGCUGCUCUCCUGUUUUCUUCUGCAUGAGAAUGGGUGUUUUUUAGAGUCGCUAGAUUUCACCAUGCAGUUUGGCUGGUGUCCCUCAUACAAAGAAUGUGACUGACGCAACAUUAAUCUCCAAACAAAGAGACUGGCACAACUACUCCGCACAAUUUCAGGGCUAGGAGGUGGCAACGUCAGUCUGGAUUUCUCAGUGCUCCUUCACGAGCUGUUCCACUUUCUCCCGAUUCUCAUUUAGAUCAAACAAAACGCUCCAGAAAAGGAGGUGAAACGGUGCCGUUUAAAUCCGUGACACACAGGCACACAGGGGACCUCCUUCUCAUUUUCCAAACAGGGAGUCAUGGCGAGAACUUUUUAAAUUUGUCAUAAUAAGGUGUGACCUACAUGGGAGGGAGCCAAAGCCCAAACUCCAGCUCGCAGCAAGAUUCCUGCCUAUUGAGUGAUCCAAAAUGUAAUGCAUGAACAUGGAGCGGGAGAGAGCUUCCUCUCUGAAGACAUAAUUCUCUCAUGGCUGACACGCAGCACUUCCUACAGCAUAGGUUAGAAUACAUGCCAUAUCCUUCAAUGUGAAAAGCAUGCAACGCUUAUUUUACCAAUGUGCUGUUCAGUGCAUUCAAAAAAAAAAAAUGUUGACACCCGCCAGAGGUUGUAACGUAAUAUAAUCUCACUGACACUGACAUAUGAAAAACAGUCCUCAGCUGACACUCAUGAAAAAUGGCAGCGGUUUGGAGAAGAACAACUCAGAGGUCUAUUUUCACACCGGUCUCAGCUGGGAGGCUGCAAAACAACUACCCUGCUGUUCUUGUUGUCUGGAAAUGCAUCUUUCAUGAACGCAGAAUACUGUCACUUAUGUGUUAAAGGAAAAAAAAAAAACACUUGAAGAAAGGAAGAAGCAGUUUGUAAGAUUAGGUCCAGAUCACUUACUGGCAAAUACAAUAAUAAAAGAGGAGAAUAAAAGGAUGUUUUCUGCAGGGUUUUAAAGCACAGCAUUAUCUUUUUCUUGCAGAGCAAACAUGUCAGAGUUCUUGUGUAGCUCGCUCCCCUCGAACAGAAUCAGGGGGUGAGAGUUGCCAUCAUUCACGGUGUCCAGUGUUAGUGCAGCCUGUUCUCUGUGUGGGCUGGGGGCCUUGUUAAGGGCGGCAAGCAUGUGAAGAGCUGAAGGCCUCACAAGACCGAGUGAGGACAACACACCAGCCCGUUCCACACGACUGUGAGGCAUUACUUGGAGUUUUGACCAUCAUUACUAUGACAUGGUUUUCAUCCUGACAAUCACAAAAAACACCUAAUUUCAUUAAUUCCACUCGCCGUAUGUUUCUAUUCACUGUUUUCGAAUUAUUUACAACCACAGCGAGGAGUUUUUGGCCAGUCAUGAAUCAGACUUUAUAUUUAUGCCUCUGUGUGAGCUACAAAAGCAAACAGGACCACCAGCAGCAGGAUUAUUUUUUUCUCAAUUGUAAUAUUUAAUGCCUGAACUGCUGCUGCUGCAGGGUUGGUGUCUGACAAAUGAGUUACAGCCCACUGCAGCCUGUUCUUUAAAUCGUUCUACCACAAAUACUCAAACUGAGUGAUGUGUUUAACUGUUAGCAGGAAUGAGGGAAAGUCGAUGUACUUCUUUUUGCCCAAAACAUCACCUAUAAAUGGACAAGACAAAAUUAAUUAGGUGAAGACAUGCUACUUUGUUUACAGUGGGCACCAAAAUCCUCAUGAUUCACAUGUUUUUUGUUUUUUUUUACAGGAGCUGCUGGAAAAUUUCGCAAUCCAGGUCCAGUGACAGAUUUAAUCCAAACACAUUAUAUCCACACAGAUCCACAGAUUACUUCAUCUACCAAGACUGUGCAGUCUGUGAUCCAUCUAACCAUGUAUGAGCAGGGUUUGAAGAAAACAACUGUUGUUUUUAGCCUCUGUGAGGCACUUUGAACUACAUUUUUUUUGUCUUAAAAAUGCCAUACAAAUACAAAUAAAGUUGAAGUAAACAACUGAAUUUGAAUUUGUUGAAUUCCCCUUCGGGAAUAAAUA